rnacentral:rRNA from 1 species
UACAGAGGUCUCAAGCGUUGUUCGGAUUCAUUGGGCGUAAAGGGUGUGUAGGUGGCGCCGUAAGUCGGGGUGUGAAAUUUCGAGGCUUAACCUCGAAACUGCAUUCGAUACUGCGGUGCUUGAGGACUGGGAGAGGAGACUGGAAUUCAUGGUGUAGCAGUGAAAUGCGUAGAUAUCAUGAGGAAGACCAGUGGCGAAGGCGGGUCUCUGGACAGUUCCUGACACUGAGAACACGGAAGGCCAGGGGAGCAAACGGG